ensembl:miRNA
GUGGGCGGGGGCAGGUGUGUGGUGGGUGGUGGCCUGCGGUGAGCAGGGCCCUCACACCUGCCUCGCCCCCCAG